CAGGAAAAUAGGCCGAGCCCUAGUUGGAAAAGGGCAGGGUUUUCUGGGAGGCGGAGCGUGCGCAGGACAAUCCCUAGGCAGCACACGCUUUAGGCCGUAAGUGUGGGCAUGCUCCGCUGGGCGCGAGCGUGGAGGGUCCCCCGGGGGAAGCUUGGUGCCUCUUCUCCCAGACGCUCGGCGGUGCCUGUCGCCUUCAGUAGCAGUCGCAGUGGUGGACGAGGAGCCGAACCGAGGCCGCUGGCGCUCUCCUAUAACCUUCUUGAUGGAGAGGCGACACUUCCAGCUAUCGUCUUUUUGCAUGGACUCUUCGGCAGCAAAACCAACUUCAACUCCAUCGCCAAGGCGAUGGUCCAAAGAACCGGCAGGAGGGUGUUGACAGUGGAUGCUCGGAACCAUGGUGACAGUCCCCACAAUCCAGAUGCAAGCUACGAGGCCAUGAGUCAGGACCUUCAGGGCCUCCUGCCACAGCUGGGCCUGGUGCCCUGCGUCCUCGUUGGCCACAGCAUGGGAGGAAAGACAGCCAUGUUGCUGGCACUGCAGAGGCCAGAUGUUGUGGAGCGAUUGGUUGCUGUAGACAUAAGCCCAGUAGGAACCACACCUGGAUCAUAUCUAGGAAGCUACAUAGCAGCCAUGAAGGCCGCUGAUAUCCCGGAGAAGGUGCCGCACUCCCAGGCCCGAAAACUGGUAGACGCACAACUUAGCGCCACUGUCAAGGACCCAGCCAUUCGGAGGUUCCUGCUCACUAACCUGGUGGAGGUAGAUGGGCGCUUCUCUUGGAGAAUGAACUUGGAGACUUUAGCUCAGCACUUGGACAAGAUUCUGACCUUCCCACAGCAGCUUGAAUCCUACUCGGGGCCAACUCUCUUUCUGAUUGGUGGAAAUUCUAGAUAUGUACAACCCAGCCACCACUCAGAGAUUAGGCGUCUCUUUCCUCAAGCCCAGAUUCAGACCGUGCCUAACGCUGGCCACUGGGUCCACAGUGACAAACCCCAAGACUUCAUGGAUGCCAUCAGCAGCUUCUUGGCCUAAGAAAUGGCUCCUUGAAAGAGCAGACAGGGAACUCUGGACUGGCAUCUUUGCAGCCGGCUGCCUGCUUCUGCAUAGACCAAUUCAGGCCAGAAGAGGGCACCAGACCCCAUUACACAUGGUUGUGAGCCACCAUGUGAUUGCUGGGAAUUGAACUCAGGACCUUUGGAAGAGCAGGCAAUGCUCUUAACCUCUGAGCCAUCUCUCCAGCCCCUGGGAUCCAU